rnacentral:rRNA from 1 species
GACGAACGCUGGCGGCGUGCUUAACACAUGCAAGUCGAACGGAAAGGCCCUGCUUGUGUGGGGUGCUCGAGUGGCGAACGGGUGAGUAACACGCGAGUAACCUGCCCUUGACUUUGGGAUAACUUCAGGAAACUGGGGCUAAUACCGGAUAGGAGCUCCUGCUGCAUGGUGGGGGUGGGAAAGUUUCGGCGGUUGGGGUUGGAUUCGCGGCUUAUGAGCUUGUUGGUGGGGUAGUGGCUUACCAAGGCUUUGACGGGUAGCCGGCCUGAGAGGGUGACCGGCCACAUUGGGACUGCGAUACGGCCCAGACUCCUACGGGAGGCAGCAGUGGGGAAUAUUGCACAAUGAGCGGAAGCCUGAUGCAGCAACGCCGCGUGCGGGAUGACGGCCUUCGGGUUGUAAACCGCUUUCGCCUGUGACGAAGCGUGAGUGACGGUAAUGGGUAAAGAAGCACCGGCUAACUACGUG